rnacentral:misc_RNA from 1 species
AGGAGAUUCAGUGCUAUAGAGGAGUAAGGCACAUCCAAGGAUUGCCUUGCAGAGGACAACGAACAAAGAACAAUUGCCGUACUUUGAAGGGCAAGAAAGUAGCAAUUGCAGGGAAGAAGAAGGCACCUCGUUAAAUCAAGAUCGAUUUUUCAUUUCUUUUGGUAACUAACUUGUAAAAGUUACACUCUAUAUUCCUAUGGCAAACUGUGCAUUUGUUUGUUAUAAACAGUUUU